rnacentral:rRNA from 2 species
UGAGGAAUCUUGCGCAAUGGGGGCAACCCUGACGCAGCAACGCCGCGUGGAGGAUGAAGGUCUUCGGAUCGUAAACUCCUGUCAGAGGGGACGAACGCUUGCGGGCGAAUAGCCCGUAAGCUUGACGGUACCCUCAGAGGAAGCCACGGCUAACUCUGUGCCAGCAGCCGCGGUAAUACAGAGGUGGCGAGCGUUAUUCGGAAUUAUUGGGCGUAAAGGGCGCGUAGGCGGCUGAGUAAGUCCUGGGUGAAAUCCCUCGGCUCAACCGGGGAACUGCCUUGGAAACUACUCGGCUCGAGGCCGGGAGAGGGUAGCGGAAUUCCCAGUGUAGCGGUGAAAUGCGUAGAUAUUGGGAGGAACACCGGUGGCGAAGGCGGCUACCUGGACCGGUUCUGACGCUGAUGCGCGAAAGCGUGGGGAGCAAACAGG